UGGAUAGAUUAAUGUAUUCGACUGUAUUCACAGCGUGAAAUGGGAGAUUACACUAUUUUUAAACGGAAAGUGAAUCAAUUAACAUACUAGACUCCU
rnacentral:pre_miRNA from 1 species